GAUGAAGAACGUAGUGAAAUGCGAUACUUGGUGUGAAUUGCAGAAUCCCGUGAACCAUCGAGUCUUUGAACGCAAGUUGCGCCCGAAGCCAUUAGGCCGAGGGCACGCCUGCCUGGGCGUCACACGUCGUUGCCCCCCCAUCUACUCCUUCGGGAUUGCGGGGGGCGGAUGAUGGCCUCCCGUGCGCCUCGCCGCGCGGUUGGCAUAAAUGCCAAGUCCUCGGCGACGCACGCCACGACAAUCGGUGGUUGCGAAACCUCGGUUGCCCGUCGUGUGCGGUCGUCGCGCAUCGAGGGCUCGAAAAAAUUGCCGGGUUCCGGCUCGGCUUUCAACGCGACCCCAGGUCAGGCGGGGUUACCCGCUGAAUUUAAGCAUAUCAAAAGCGGAGGA
rnacentral:misc_RNA from 1 species